rnacentral:tRNA from 1 species
GCCGGGAUGGCGGAAUGGUAGACGCAUACGACUCAAAAUCGUACGCCGAAAGGCAUGGGGGUUCGAGUCCCUUUCCCGGCA